GUGUCAGCAGCCGCGGUAACACGGGGGGAGCAAGCGUUGUUCGGAUUCAUUGGGCGUAAAGAGCUCGUAGGCGGCUCUGUAAGUCGGAAGUGAAAGACCACGGCUCAACCGUGGACCCGCUUUCGAAACUGUGGAGCUUGAGGCUGGGAGAGGAGAUUGGAAUUCCUGGUGUAGCGGUGAAAUGCGUAGAUAUCAGGAGGAACACCCGUGGCGAAGGCGAAUCUCUGGACCGGUUCUGACGCUGAGGAGCGAAAGCUAGGGGAGCAAACAGGAUUAGAUACCCGGGUAGUCC
rnacentral:rRNA from 1 species